rnacentral:lncRNA from 1 species
AUGAUGAGCCUUGACUUAAAGGUGAACAAUAUGAGCAACUAUGGCCUUGAGAAAGAGAUGGGAUCAGUGUUUAGGUGCCUUCACAGCCUCUUAAGCCUAUGGCACAUUUCCAGUAGGAUCUCCGACACCCACAGUCAGGCUCUUGAAUGCCAAGAGGAACUCAGGAUUUGUUCUUCUUUCUAUGUACCUGGCUUCAUGGGAGAGGUCACAACUGAGCUAAGCAUAGAACAGCACUGUGGACUGGCAAUCACUCUCAGAGUGGAUGUGGGACUACUGGGGAAGCCACUGGCAAUGAUAUGGAGGCCCAUGAUGAUCAGAGAGAGGGAUGCAGGGACAAGUACUGCCAAGCAGGAAAGUCUUGGACAUGACAAUGAGCCACAAGCAGGAACUGGGCACGUGUGAUGCUGAGAGUGGAAGGGGAGACCAGGACAAGGUGAGGGCAGCUUCUACAUCUUAUGGUGAAUGGCAGGUGCUUUAAAAUUCAUGUACAAUGCUUCAUUUUGCAAUAACAUUUCCUGUUUAAAGCAAAGCUGCAGUUAAACAACACGGCCUGAGCAUUCAGACAAACCAGAGACAGACAGGCUCAGAGUCUCAAAAGAAACAGGUGACAACAAAAAGAAAUCAGACUCUAUAGAAGUGACAGUUCUAAUAAAUUGUGAAUAUAUAAAUAUGAAAGGAAGUUU